rnacentral:lncRNA from 1 species
UAAUUCCUUAUGCAUGUCCAUACCGAGCUUCUCAAGCUCCUCCAGGUCCUUGAUCAUGGUCAGACCGUGAUCAUGGACAGACUGCCCUUCGCGCAUCUUUGCUUUGAAAAGCCUCUUGGACACUUCAAAACGAGCUGUGCAACUCUGCUCACCAUACAACUCUUACAGGUGUGCCAGUAUGUCCCUAGCAGUCUUCAUAUUUUCAUGCUGGCAUUGGAGUUCAUUAGACAUGGAUGCCAUCAUAUAGCAUUUUACUCUAAUGUCAUCAUCCAACCACUUUUUAUGCAACUCACGCUGAACAUCAGUAGGACGUGCUGGUAGUGUGGGGAUAUCUAAAUCGAGUAUGUAGCCUAUUUUCUCACAGUCCAAAAUAAUUUUGAGAUUUCUAAGCCAGUCUUUGUAAUUGGUUCCGGUCAGUCGGUUGGUCUCAAGAAUACGGGUCAGAGGGUUUGAAGCCGACAUUGUAUCUGCAGAGAGUAAAGAUUCUAGUUAGACUUUUGUACUCGAUCCUAAUCUGUUCUAAGGUCUUUUAGAACAAAUUGACUCCCACUAUUUUCUCGAAUCCCUCACACUCCCCUGGUAGGGAAACGGAAAUCCU